AACGCACCUUGCGCUCCUUGGUAUUCCAUGGAGCAUGCCUGUUUGAGUGUCACGUGAACACCUCACCUCCCUUUGGGGAUGCGUGGACUUGGACGUCUGCCGACGCAAGUCGGCUCGUCUCGAAAUGCAUUAGCCUGCAGAGUGCUUCGCUGGGCCUUUGGCGUGAUAGUCACAUUUCGCCGUUGCGUCUGCGAUGUCUUAGACUCUGGGCUCACAAUAUUGGAACCCGUCCACGGGGACCUCUUUUUACGCUCUGGCCUCAAAUCAGGUAGGACUACCCGCUGAACUUAA
rnacentral:misc_RNA from 1 species